CCCUUAGAUGUCCUGGGCCGCACGCGCGCUACACUGAGUGUCUGAGAUACGAGUCUGCCUGGUCCGGCAAGGUCUAGGUAAUCGCUAAAAGACACAUCAUGCUUGGGAUAGAUUAUUGCAAAUAUUAAUCUUGAACGAGGAAUUCCUAGUAAGCGCAAGUCAACAGCUUGGGUUGAUUACGUCCCUGCCCUUUGUACACACCGCCCGUCGCUACUACUGAUUGGAUGUUUAAGCGAGGUUCUCGAACUGCUAGCGACUUAGCUUCGGUGAGGUCGCAGUGUGGGAAGUGAACCUAGCUUUGGUGUCUAGAGGAAGUAAAAGUCGUAACA
rnacentral:rRNA from 1 species